AUUGAACGCUGGCGGAAUGCUUUACACAUGCAAGUCGAACGGCAGCACGGGGGCAACCCUGGUGGCGAGUGGCGAACGGGUGAGUAAUACAUCGGAACGUGCCCAGUCGUGGGGGAUAACGUAGCGAAAGCUACGCUAAUACCGCAUACGAUCUCUGGAUGAAAGCGGGGGACCGCAAGGCCUCGCGCGAUUGGAGCGGCCGAUGGCAGAUUAGGUAGUUGGUGGGGUAAAGGCUCACCAAGCCGACGAUCUGUAGCUGGUCUGAGAGGACGACCAGCCACACUGGGACUGAGACACGGCCCAGACUCCUACGGAGGCAGCAGUGGGGAAUUUUGGGACAAUGGGCGAAAGCCUGAUCCAGCCAUUCCGCGUGCAGGAUGAAGGCCCUCGGGUGUAAACUGCUUUUGUACGGACGAAACGGUCCUGGUUAAUACCUGGGGCUAAUGACGGUACCGUAAGAAUAAGCACCGGCUAACUACGUGCCAGCAGCC
rnacentral:rRNA from 1 species